GCUGCGUUCCACAGCCUGGCCUUGCCAGGGUUGGGAGGGUGGGAGGAUGGCCUCCUCUGCUGGCGUCUACACUGCAAAACUCCGCGUCCCUGCACUGAACGGGACCGGGAGGCUGGCUUUGAGCAGGAAAGUAGAUCCUCCUGUCACCCCCUCGGGUGACCAAUCAGGAUGAACGUGCUCCCUGCUCAGACUUCCCACGGGGCCGCCUCCCUUUCUCCUCCUCCUCUUUCCCCCGCCCUUACCCGGGCUACUGCAGUGGCGGGGGCGCAGAAGGGGCCUUCCUUGCUGUCUGGCUUUUCCUGGAUUCCCUUGAUUAAACUAAACCUUCGAAUGAAUGUAAAAAACAAGCAAGCCGCAUGCGUGGGCCCUGCAGUCCCCUCCCCCAGAUUCUGACCCAAGGGCUUGGAGCAGGCUCAUUUUUAUUACCAGCCCAAGCGAUUCGGUUGCAGGUGAUUCUGGACCACACUUUGAAAAACACUGAGGCAGAAGUAAGCCAGCAAGUGCAUGGGAUACAUCCGAUGUGAGAGAAGAGGAGUUGACGACACAGAAGCACAGAGGAAAGGCCAUGUGAGGACACAGGGAGAAGGUGCCCAUCUGCAACCGAGGAGAGAGGCCUCGGAAAAACUGCAGACACCUUGCUCUCGGACUUGCAGCCUCCAGAACCGUCUGCUGAGUUAAACCCACAGUGUGUGUUUGGGCUACAAAUUCUGCAGAGGAAAGCGGAAAUCGAUGUUGGAGGCUGUUUCCUGUGAGUUAAGAGUGUGCUGCUGGAACCCUAUUUAGGCCUGGAAAGUUUGGGUUCUUCGUGUGGAAAUUUGUCCCCUCACUGCCAUUUCACUGAGCAGAUAAAAGCUGCUUUACAAGAGUCUGAAAUGUGGCUGAAUUCUUUUUCUGUUCAUAGAGCAAGGCACAGUUGGCCUCAGUGUAGGGAAGAGGUAAGAUGCUGAAAAGUUUUCCUCAGGCCUUAAUGACAGGUCCCCCACUGUCAAGCUGGGUGGGAACCUUUAUGCUUCUGCCUUUAAGCUGCUACACGACAAUUCAGAAAAUGAUUUGCAGUGGGUAGGGCGUGGCCCCACAAUCCCCACCUGUGGAAACAGGAUCUUAAUGGCUGUCAGUGUUCAAAGAACGGGCUCCGGGUUUCCUUCCAGCGUCCUGUGCGGCUGUUAGUGCUGUUCUCCAGGCUGCCCUUGACUCCCGAUCAGCCCCUCAGCCUUCGGCCAGCAGGCUGCUCCCAGCUGCUCUCCUGGAAGCACUUCCUCACCAGCCAGGUGGCCUCUCAUCUCCCUGCAGCCCCAUCCUGUCUGCCCCAGAGCCCGGGUGGCUUCAGCACUUCCCUAACGCCACUCAUCUCUGCUCCUCCCUCCUGGUUAUCUUCCUGCCAGUUUUGGAAGUGGGCCUUUCCUAUUGCAGAGACGGCCCAGUGGAAUGCUUUGGGACACAACAAGGGUUGCAGGGUGGGAGAGAUCACUGCAGGGUCUCAUGGCCUGUGAUUCUGUUCAGUGCCAACACGGGAGACUGAAUGAAGCAAGAGCAAGCGCUGAUAGAUGCUGCCGCUCCGGAGUGGAGACCACAUCUGGUUCAUCUCUUGAGUCCUCAGUGCCCAGCCAGAGCUUGGCACAUAGCCGGUGCUCAAUAAGAUGAUCUGUUGAAUGAAUGCUCUUAGUGUCCUUUCUUCUUCGGAAAGGUGUCCGACGUGUGUUAAGUCCGAGAAUCACAACCUCAACAGGGAGGCAAAAGCAGAGAUGCCUCUGCUUUGCAGUAGCUCUCAUGAGUCACGUCAGAGGUGCAGGUCUGGCUCAGCCGUUGUCCAAGAAACUCCAGGAGCUCCACCUCCCUGUGCCUCAGUGUCCUCCACUGCGAUGCGGAGGCCACAGUGUCUGCUCUGCCUGCCUCCCUGGAGGUCAUGAGGACACGACAGGAGAACAGACAUGAGACUUCUCUGAGAAUUUCAAAGCCGUGCUUAAGGAAAUGCAGCAGCCAAAUCCCUCCCUGCAUCCACCACACGUGCAGCUCCUGAAUUUCACAUCUUUGUUAACAACUUGCACCAAAGAUACUGCAGGCUUUCAGCCAGGAAGUCCCAGGCUCUUCAAAAGCCACGUCGGAAUCUCACCUCCUCUCUGUGUACCCCCACUGCCACCACAACGCUUCCGUUUCAACAGGGACCCGUUCCUGUGAUUUAAAUAAGUGGGUGAAUAAACAAGGGAAUAAGCAAGGGAAUGAGUGGACAGAAAGAAGAUGGGAAAAAAAUUCUCUUGCCCAAAAGUUGCCCCAAUGGAGGAACCAAGAAGAGAAGAGGAAGCGUCAGCCCUGAGAGGGCAUAUGCCGCCCUCCUCCCCUCCCCUCCACAGCCCUCUGCCCCCGUCCAAGCAGAUCACUGCCUGGAGGUGAGCGGUGCCCAGAAAAUGGGCAGGACCUGGAUAACGAUCAUAGUGGGCAGACAGAGACUGAAGCCCAGUCCCUGCUGUGCGACUUGGAAAUGUCAGUCAUGGCUUAAGGGGAGAGCCGAUUCAAGGAAACAGCCAAGUCAAGGUCGCCACAUGUGUGCGGCAUUUUAGGUUCAGCAAGCGAUCUGCAAAUUCAAAGCCUCGUAAAUGGGUUCCAAGAAAUCUGAUUUUAACAGCACCACUGACACAGGAGUGUGUCCCGGGACUCGCCCCUCACUGGGAUGAAGAUUGUCAUUGAUUUAUCAGGAGCAGAAACAGCAGGAUUCCACAUCACGUCCUGGAAGGCAGCCCAGGCAAAGGUGGAGAAUUAGCAGAUCGUUACUAUUAAUUCCAAUAUUACAACUCCCCAGGAGUCCUGCAGCAAAUCACAGGCUCUCUCACAGGAGUUUCUCCGUAUUUAAGUGGAGUUAAUGUUUUUUGUUUUUGUUUCUGUUUUUAAUGGAGCAUCAUUCCUAAUUAUGAAGACACUCUCAAAAUUACAAAUAUUCAUUAAUCACGCGCAAGUCCGGAACAUGCUAGGUCCUAUACGAGAUGCACAGUAAGUAGAACCACCGCUAUAUUUCAUUCACUUGAGCGGUCAACAUUUACUGAAGCCCUUGAUGUGCCCAACACUGUGCCGGGCACUGGCUUUAUACCACAUUACAGUUAUUAGCCAUUUUAAAAGUGAAGAGAUCAACCUCAGAGAGGUUAUAAAACUUACCCAACUGCCCUCGGCCACACAGUUUGUAAGAGACUUGGGAUUAGAAUAAAGGGAGAGAUCGGAC
ensembl:lncRNA